rnacentral:tRNA from 2 species
CGCAGGAUGGAGUAUAGGUAACUCGCGGGCCUCCUUAGCCCGAAAUGGUGGUUCAAUUCCGCCUCCUGCAA